GCCUGGAUGGUCUAAUCGGUGAAGGCGUCGCCCCGGACAGGCGAAGGUUGCGGGUUGAAACCCCGCUCCUGGCG
rnacentral:tRNA from 1 species